rnacentral:tmRNA from 1 species
GGGGGCGACAGGCUUCGACAGGAGUCCUGGACGAUCGACCGGAUGCCAUGCCGGGCUUCUCUAUGCAGCUCGUUAAAAAGCGUAGGGAAAAACAAUUGCCAAUAACAAUGAAUUGGCUCUCGCUGCCUAAUUA